rnacentral:tRNA from 1 species
UCCCUCGUGGCGCAAUUGGCUAGCGCGUUCGACUGUUAAUUAUUCAUUGCAAUCGAGAGGUUGAAAGUUCGAGCCUUUCCGAGGGAG